rnacentral:rRNA from 1 species
GACAUAGGUGGCAAACGUUAUCCGGAAUUAUUGGGCGUAAAGCGCACGUAGGCGGCCGACUAAGUCGGGUGUGAAAGCCCUGGGCUCAACCCAGGAAGUGCACUCGAAACUGACCGGCUUGAAUAUGGAAGAGGGUCGCGGAAUUCCCGGUGUAGAGGUGAAAUUCGUAGAAAUCGGGAGGAACACCAGUGGCGAAGGCGGCGACCUGGGCCAAUAUUGACGCUGAGGUGCGAAAGCGUGGGGAGCGAACAGG